rnacentral:lncRNA from 1 species
AAAUUGUAAAUCUCAACGCCCCCAAAUUAACCGUGAAUUGCACUAAUUAACGCUCAGUUUUUCCACAAGUUAUUGGGUUGGAUGAUUGCAUACGACAACCCAAAACAUUCCCUACAAGUUCCCUACAUGAAUUGCAUAAUAGAGAUACAAGCAAGAAUCAUUAAGUUCUAUGAAAAACAUAAGCAUUGACGAUGCACUCGUUACUAUGAUUUGCAUGAAACUUAUGCCAAGAAUUUACUUAACGUGAUUGUGACUAGCAACCUUCACUACUUGUGAAUAUAAGUUCAUAACGAUUAGGUGAACACUCCCUUAUAUCUCUAGCGUCAAAUUCAUGCAUGUAAAUUAAGUAUGCAUUCUUAAUCGACAUACAAAAAUAAGCUAUCAAUCAAGCAGUUAAGCAAUUUAAAUCACAACUCAGAAAUCACAACUGAAGGUAAUCAAUUCAUAUUACAAAUAUAUUCAUGGCUUUGAAUUAACCUCUAGCCAAAAUAAAUUUAGUUACACAUUAUUAAAACAGAAAUAAAAUAUAAGUUUAGAAAGAUUUAACCGAGAGAGAAGGCAGCUUGCUACUUCUGUCUGUCCGUGCCUUUUCUUCGUUCUUUCUAUUUUCUUCUCACGUCUGACUGCUCUCUGCCCUCACUGCUCUCUGCCUUCCCUGUCAGUUUCUUCCCUGCUCUCUUUAUUUUCUGCCUUCCCCCCCAGUCUUCUCUCUCUCUCUGCCCGUGUUAUCUGUCCUCACUUCUUUUAUUUUUUUUUUUUUUUUAUUUUUUUAUUUUUUUUUAUCCUUUCUUUUAUUGAUGUCUGCCAUUCUUUGCUUUUAUCAUUUUUUGUUUUUCUUUCCGCCAUUCCUUUCUUCUUUCUUUCCUCCACCAUUCCUUUCUUUAUGUUUCUUUUAUUCCUCCAUCAUUCCAUGUCUCCCCUCUUAUUUAUUUUCUUAUUCUUCUUUCUCCACACAGUCUGCAAGUCUCUCCCUUUCCUCUUUUAUUAUUCAAUUUCUUGAUAGUCCACUUCCUUCCUUUGUUUAAUGCCGUGUUGCACUCUGUCUUUUCUCUAUUCUUUUCUGCCCAUUUUGUUUGAAAUUAAUCCUACAACAAAAUUAACUGUACAUUAACACAAGGUAAGGUAAAAUGCCACAAUUUUAACACAAAAACAUCCAAAGACUUUAGAAAUGAAUGGUAUAAAUGCAUGAAAUAUAUGAGUGAUCAAAUACCCCCAAACUUACAUUUUUGCUAGUCCUCUAGCAAAAGAAAACAUGAAAAGUACAAACAUGAAAAACAUUAGUUUCCCCCUAUGUGACCCUCAUAGAAUUUCAUUCAAGAAAACAAAUCAUCA